GCCAACAGUUAUAUCACCCUGCAACUCACAACUAGCAACACACUGAAGCUAAGCAGCUGUGAGCCUAGCCAGUAUCUGGAUGGGAGACCUCCUGGGAAAGUUAAGGUAGCUGCUGGAA
rnacentral:rRNA from 1 species